ACCGAGGUUUUCUUGAAGAAGAGGAAACUGGCUAUAGACAACAGCUUUGGUGAUGCCUGAGAGGGCCAUCCUCCAUUUCCUGUUGCCUGUGGAUUUGGGGACUUUCCUUGCCGGUUCCCACGAGCAUAUAAGAAAAUUUCUUGCGAUAAAUCUCUUAAGAUAUAUUUCCUAUUGCUCUGUUUCAUUGGUUGUACUUUGGACAGAGUUACAUUUCACAUAAUAGACGCUGCAAUGCGAACAAGGGAUAGAAAGGAGCAGGGAGCAAUUUAAGCUGAAAUUAUGUAGGCCCCUGGACUCCCACUGUAAGAUAGUUGAGAAUGAUUAUCGGAAUCUUCCAGGAGAAAAAUUUCCUAUCUUCAAGCCUGUAUCUACAAGAUGAAACCUUUGUUCAAAGAAAGCAACUGAAAUAUGGAGUGGAAAAGCAUUUCCCAGUUUAUUUCCUUUUCUAAUUCCAACGCCUUGUUUCUCAUCCUUUGUUAUCUUAGUCACUAGGAAGGAACUACAUGUGAAAGGGUUGUCAUUGAUGGUGAAGCAGUCAUCGGUACCGAGAUGGACCAAGACAUCAAUGCCUUUAACGAUGGACUGCAAAGGGCACUUCUCCUUAAAUUAAUGUGAAAUAAGUCCUGGGAUUCCUUAUCAAAUUUCGGUACACUAUAGUCAAAUUAUAUUUGUAUAAUUCAG